CAGACCAAGCGGUCGUCCUUCUCUUCCUGCUUUAGUCCCCUCUGUCUUACCUCCUGUGUCCACUCCUUAUACCCCACCUUUGACUCGAUCUGGAUUUGUCCCUUCCCUCCUUCCUUGAGGAUUUAACUUGACCGUUUGGCUCAGCGGUAUCUAACUUUUCACAGCUGGCGGCCUGGUGAUGGCGGAGGGCAUGCGUCCUGAGGACUACUGCGACGAGCCGGUGGAAGAUGAGUUCGGAGAGAUCAUCAAGUGUCGGUCUGAUGAAAGAGAAGACGUUCAGAAGAAGACUUUCACAAAAUGGGUCAACUUGCAGUUGUGUAAGACAGGAAAGCCACCUGUGGAGGACCUGUUCUCAGAUCUGUGUGAUGGACGACGCCUGCUGGAGCUGCUGGAAGGCCUCAUAGGACACGAGCUAGUGAGACUGGAGAAAGGGACUAGCCGUGUUCACUCACUUAACAAUGUCAACCGUGCUCUGCAGAUCUUGCAGAAGAACAAUGUUGAUUUGGUGAACAUUGGAGCGGCAGACAUCGUUGAUGGGAAUCACAAACUGAUUCUCGGGCUCAUCUGGAGCAUUAUUCUCCACUGGCAGGUAAAGGAUGUGAUGAAGGAUGUGAUGGCGGGCCUACAGCAGACCAACAGUGAGAAGAUUCUGCUGAGCUGGGUUCGUCAGAACACACGGCAAUACCCUCAGGUGAAUGUGGUUAACUUCUCCAGUAGCUGGAAUGAUGGAUUGGCCUUCAACGCCCUCAUCCACAGCCACAGGCCGGAGCUGUUUGAAUGGAGCGCGGUGGAGAAGAAGACGUCGACGAUCGACAGGCUGGAUCACGCCUUCAGUAAGGCCGAGCAACACUUGGGCAUCGAGAGACUCCUGGACCCCGAAGAUGUGGCCGUCUCGCACCCCGACAAGAAGAGCAUCAUCAUGUACGUGACGUCGCUCUUCCGGGUUCUCCCCCAAAGCGUUUCCAUGGAGGCCAUCCAGGAAGUGGAGUCGCUGCCGUCGGCGACCACGGCCGGCCUCUCCCGCGUGACAACGGAGGAACACUAUCAGAUCCAGACCCAGCAGCGCUUCUCUCAGCAGAUCACAGUGAGUGUGGCUCAGGGGCGCGUGCGGAGCCCCUCCCCUCAGCCUCGCUAUAAAAGCUAUGCCUACACCCAGGCUGCAUAUGUCAAGUCGCCAGAGCAAAAGAGGAGACGUUUUACGGAGCAGUUCCUGACCCGCAGCCAGGAGGAGCUUCAGCGGGGCCUCAGUCCUCUGCCUCCUGGAUCCACCAGCCUGGAGAGCUACCAGGCUUCACUGGAGGAGGUGUUGACGUGGCUGCUGUCGGCUGAGGACGGCCUCCACGGUCAGCCCUCCGUCUCCACCCACGUGGAGGAGGUGAAGGAGCAGUUCCACACGCAUGAGGGCUACAUGGUGGAGCUGACCACCCAUCAGGGCAGCGUCGGCCGUGUCCUGCGGGCCGGCGCCGCCCUGCUGGCGGAGAGUAACCUCAGUGAGGACGAGGACUCUGAGGUCAGGGAGCAGAUGAACCUCCUGAACUCCCGCUGGGAACACCUGAGAGUAGCAAGCAUGGAGAGACAGAACAGACUCCAUGAAGUCCUGAUGGAGCUGCAGAACAAGCAGCUGCAGCAGCUCACCGAGUGGCUGGACGUCACAGAGGCUCGCAUCAAGAAGAUCGGCGCUCAGCCGCUCGGUCCCGACCUGGAGGACAUCAAGCACCAAGUGGAGGAGCACAAGCUCCUCCAGGAGGACUUGGAGUUGGAGCAGGUGAGGGUGAAUUCUCUGACCCACAUGGUGGUGGUUGUCGACGAGAACACCGGAGACAGCGUGACCGCCGCCUUGGAGAGCAAACUCCAGGUUCUCGGUGACCGCUGGGCAGCGAUUUGCAGAUGGACAGAAGAGCGCUGGAUUCUGCUUCAGGAGAUUCUGUUAAAAUGGCAGCACUUCACUAACGAACAGUGUUUGUUUGACUCCUGGCUGACUCAAAAGGAGGAGCUGGUUCGCUCCACCAAGACCUCCAACCUCAAAGACCAGGCGGAGACGGCGGCCUGUUUGCGCCGUCUGUCUGCACUGAAGGGAGAACUAGAGGCCAAGCUUCCCACCAUGGAUAAGCUGUGCUCUAUGAGCCAGGAUCUGCUGUUCAGUGUCAAGAACAAAGACGUCGCCUCCAAACUGGAGGCCAGAUUGGACAGCUUUGCUCAGCGAUGGGACCGACUGGUCCAAAACCUGGAGAGGAACAUCUCCCAGCUUCCCCCGGCUGUCGGCACCACCAAGCAGUCCGAGGCGCCCCAGUCUGUCACAGCGACCGUUACCAAGGUGACCACCAGGGAGAAGGUGCCGGCUUUGCGCCACGCUCGAGAGUCGCCGCCGCCUCAGAAGAAGAGACAAGUGGUGGUGGAUUCUGAGCUCAGGAAAAGGUUUGACGUGGACUUCACAGAGGUGCACAGCUACAUGACCCGCGGCGAGGCCAUCCUGCAGAGCCCCGAGUUCUCCGUGUCGCGCAAAGACGGCAGCCUUCAGGAGCUGCACGACAAAGUCCAGGCCAUAGACCGAGAGCGGCCAGAGAAGUACAGGAAGCUCCAGGAGGCGACGCGCACGGCGCAGACGCUCGUCGAGCAGGAGGGGAGCCGAGCCGACGACAUCGCUCAGGCAGCAGACCAGCUGAACCAGCGCUGGGCAGGAUUCUGCGUCCUGCUGGCGGACCGCCUGACAUGGCUGGCCUACCAAACGAAGGUUUUGGCCUUUUACAGUUUGUACGAGCAAUGUGAGCAGGCAGUGGACGGCAGUGAGAACUGGCUCAAAGUGCAGGCGCCGCCAGCGUCGGAGCCAGAACCUCUCAAAGUGCAGCUGGACCGAUGUCGGGAGGAGAUUGCUCGCCUGUCGUCCCUCCAGCCCCAGGUUGACCUCCUGGAAAAGCGUCUGAAGGAACUGAAGGACGAAAAGGAAGGCGAGGAGGACCCGUCUGCCUUUCUGGAUGCCGACAUCACUGCCUUCAAAGAACACUACCACCAGGUGCUGGAGGACCUGCGGGCCAGAGAGAGGCAGCUACAGCUGGUUUUGGAAAGCUUACCCCCAGCUCGAUAUAAGGAGACCAUAUCUGCAUUGUUGGCAUGGUUACAGCAGUGCGAAGCCAAACUUUCCAUCCCGUCGACAGCUGUUACCGAGUAUCCCAUUAUGGAGCAGAGACUCAAGGAUCUUCAGGCUCUCCAGGAGGCCCUGGCUGAACACCAGGGCGAGGUUGACUACCUGACAUCAGCUGUCGAGCAGGUCUUUCAGAAAGCUCCACCAGACAUCAGCCAAAAGUAUCGCCUAGAGAUUGACGCCAUAAUGGCCCGCUGGAGACGACUGGGCUCCACGCUGACAGACAGCGUCCAGAGAAUCCAGGAGCUCAUGGCCAAACUGAUGCAGUUUGAGAAUGACGUGAAGACUCUGAAAAAGUGGAUGGCGGAUGUGGAUGUGUUUCUGAACGAGGAGUGGCCCGCUCUGGGAGACUCUGAGGCUCUGGAGAAACAGUUAGAGCAGUGCACAGCUCUGGUGAAUGACAUCCACACCAUCCAACCCAGCGUGAACGGAAUCAACGAAGUGGGUCUGUACCUUAAGAAAGAAGCAGAGCCACCCUUUGCCAUCCACAUCCAGAAAGAACUGGACGAACUGAACAUGCAGUGGGAGAAUGUAUGCAAACAGGCCUAUGCAAAGAAGUCGGCCUUGAAAGGGGGCCUUGACAAGACCAUGGCGUUGAGGAAGGAGAUGCAGGAAAUGCAAGAAUGGAUAAACCAGGCCGAGGAAGACUAUCUGGAGAGAGACUUCACAUACAAGACGCCUGAGGAGCUGCGGAAGGCAGUCGAGGAGCUCAAGAGGGCGCAGGAGGAGGUCCACUCUAAGGAGCAAAAGGUCAAACUCCUGACGGACAGCGUCAACAGUUUCAUCGGCAAGGCCCCGCCCACUGCCCACGAUGCAUUGCGCUCAGAGCUGGACGUACUAACGGCCAACUACCAGCGUUUGUGUAGCCGCCUGGAUGGAAAAUGUAAAACUCUAGAGGAGGUGUGGGCAUGCUGGUGCGAGCUGCUGUCCUACCUGGAGCAGGAGAACGCCUUCCUGGACCAGCUGGAGCAGAAACUGGACGACGUAGAAAACCUGCAGGGGGGAGCGGAGGAGCUGCAGGAGGCGCUGGAUAACCUCGAGGUUCUUCUGCAACACCCAGAGGACAACAGGAACCAGAUCCGAGAACUGGCCCAGACGCUGAUGGACGGAGGGGUUCUGGACGAACUGAUUCAGCAGAAACUGGACGCUUUCAACACCCGAUGGGACGAACUCAUGGCGAGGGCGGCGCUUAGGCGGAAGGAGCUGGAGCAGAGUUUGCGGUGGGCCCAGGAGAACGACAAGACGCUCCGACAGAUCCAGGAGUCUCUGGCGAACACGGACCGCCACCUCACCGCCUACCUGGCCGACCACAUCGACGCCCAGCAGAUACCGCAGGAGGCACAGAAAAUCCAGACAGAGUUGAAUGGCCAUGAAGCAGCUCUGGCAGACAUGAGGAAGAACAACCAGGAUAAGGACCCUUCGCACCGGAUGGUGGGACAGAUAGACCAAACUCAGAAAAUGCUUGGCGACGUCUGGACCAAGUUCCGCCUCUUCCAGAAGCCGGCCAACUUCGACUCCCGCCUGGCCGAGUGCGAGCGAGUGUUGGCCGGGGUCAAAAGCCAGGUGGGGUUGCUGGACAUCCGCAGCGUGGAGCAGGACGUGGUUCAGUCGCAGCUGGACCAGUGCAUGAAACUGUACAAGACCCUGAGCGAAGUGAAGGGGGAGGUGGAGACGGUGAUUAAAACGGGGAGACAGAUCGUCCAGAGGCAGCAGACGGAGCAACCCAAAGAGCUGGACGACAGGGUGACCGCCCUGAAACUGCUCUACAACCAGCUGGGAUCGCAGGUGACUGAGAACAAACUGGAGCUGGAGAAGAGCCUGAAGUUGUCCAGGAAGUUGCGUAAGGAGCUGAACGGGCUGACGGAGUGGCUCGCCGCUACCGACGCCGAGCUGACGAGGCGCUCCGCCGUGGAGGGCAUGCCCGGUGACCUGGAGGCUGAGGUCGCCUGGGCACAGUCCGUCCAUAGUGACAUCGAGAGGCAUCAGCCCCAGCUGCAGGCGGUGGUGGAUCUCGCAGAGGCCCUCAAGGCAGUGCUGAAGGGCAACGGAGGCUUAGUGGACGACAAAGUCAGCCUGCUGCACUGCAACUGGAUCGCUGUCACGUCCAGGGCAGAGGAAUGGCUCAACCUGCUGCUGGAUUACCAGCAGCAGCUGCAAAAGUUAGACGGAGAGAUUAAGGAAGUGAAUGAAUGGAUUGACGGAGCAGAGAGAAAGAUGGACGAAAUAGACAGUCAAGGUCCCAAUGAUGCUGUGAUGAAGGUGUUGCGUGCUGAGCUGGAGCUGACCAAAGCGAAGAUGGAGGAAGUUAGAGAACUGGCACAGGAGCUCAUGUCCACCAGAGGAGAGAACUGCCAGGCCCAAGUAGGACCCAGAAUGGAGCAGCUUAACCAGAGGUUCGACAUCAUCUCUCAAAGGAUCGCCUCUGGUUUGAUGGCAGCGUCAGCCAGGGAGCUGGAACAGUACCACAGCGAAGUACGGGUCUGGCUUGAGCUGCUGGAGGAGGAAGCCAAACAGGGAGAGAACCUAAAGGAGGAGGACUUCCAAGAGGACAAGAAUUGUGAAGAGGGCGCAGUGCAAGAGUUGCUGUUGAAAGGAGAGAACCUGCAAAAGAGAGCCCCAGAUCAAGACAAGAGAGAGCAGAUAAGACAGAAACACAACCAGCUCAACAGCAAAUACAACACUGUAAAGGACCUGCGUAUCCUGAGGAAUAGAAAGGCUCUGGCCAUCGCUCCCCAGUGGUACCAGUACAGAAGGAAAUCCCAUGACCUCAUGGCCUGGCUGGACGACAUCCAGCGCAGCGUGGACCAACUUCCUGACCCACCCGAGGGAGAGCGGGUCAAGGAAAUUGGCUCAGUGUUCGACAAGAAGAAGGAGGAGCUUAAGGAGAUGCAGGGCUUAGCCAAUCAGCUCUCACAGGCUGGAGCCGCCAAUCUAGUGGAGCCCCGCCAACUCCAGCUCAAGACCCGCUGGGUUGAGGUGGAGGGCAUGUUCAUACCCUUCAAAAGACGCUGUGAGUACCUGACAGAGCUCCAGGCGCUGCUGCGUUCGGUGUCAGAGACGGACUUCAAGCUGAACUCUCCUGAAUACUGGCCUGCAGCAUAUUAUAACCUGCCGCAGCAAGAGCACUGCCUGAAGGACGUGAAGGAGAACAUAGACAAGCUGCACGGCGCAGUGGAAGGAGCGCUGGCCCAGAGAGAAGAGAUGGUGACGGGUUCUCGACCUUUGGAAGGUCACAGGGUUCAGGAGACUGCGUCCCUACUCAACAACAACUGGGACAAACUAAACAAGCUGUACAAAGACAGACUGAAGCGUUGGAAGGACUGUAACUCCAAAUGGCAGAGGUUUGUUUCGGACCAGAAGGAAGUGGAGGAAUGGCUGAGCAACGCCGAGAACACUUUGAAACUGUCUGAGAGUGAGCCGGCAGCACACAGACAGCAACUCAGGGACCUGGUGGACGACAUACCUCACCAGGAGGUGGUGUUAGGCAGAGUGAACUCUGCAGGAGAAGACAUCGGCCAGAUGAGCACAUUAGAUGAUGCCUUACGCCUCCGAUCGCAGCUUAAACUACUCAACACUCACUGGGCCAACAUCUGCCAGGAGCUCAGGGAGCGUAAGAGGAGGUCUGGCGAGGCACGAACAGCUGCUGCAGAGUUUGAGGAGGACAUGGGCUCGAUGCUGGGCUGGCUGGAUAAAGCGGAGGGUGUGCUGGCCAUCCCUCUGCACCCCCCAGAACCACAGCACAUCAGAGACACUUUGAGCAAAGUCCAGACACGUGUUGAGGAGCUUCCCGCGAAGAAGUCGGCAGUGGAGAAUCUGAACGCCAAGCAGAAGAUGCUAACCCUUCUUCCUGCUGACAAGCACAAAGACAUCAGGGGCAUCAACACUCGCUGGGCUCAGGUGUCUAGGGCUCUACCUGAGCGUCAGCUGGAGAUCGAGGGUCUGCUGAAGGAGCUUUUGAAGCUCCAAGGCGAGCUGGACGACCUGUCAGGCUGGGCGUCGAGCACGAGGGCCAAGCUGGAGCAGAGCACCCAGGAACCACCGCCCAGACUAAUCGAGGACGUUCAGCAGAAGAAGCCAGAAGUGGAGUUUGUUUUGGAGCGAGCCAGUCAGAUGUACAGGGAGACUCCUCCUGGACGGCUGGAGAAGGGGAAACAUGUGAAGCUAAGGGAGGAUUGGACGGUGAUCCUGGAGCUGCUGCAGCAGCACAAAGAAAGGAUGGCUGAUGCUCUCGUCUCCAAAAAAGCCCACGAAGGCCUGACAGGAAGUUCCCAGCAUGAAUCUGCUGCGCUCCAGCAGUUCAACAAAUCCUGGGCUGAGCUCACCGAUUGGCUGAAGAUGCUGGACAACAUGGUGCAAAACAAGCAGGUGGUGGUCGCUGACCUGGACGACAUCAACGAAAACAUAAACCAGCUCAAGGGAUCUCUUCAGGAGCUCGACAAGCGGCGCCCCCUCCUGGAGAAACAAGUAACGGCAGCACAGAACCUGAAGAACAAGACCAGCAACCAGGACACGCGCAAUGUCAUCACGGAACGCAUCGACAGGCUUCAGACCCACUGGGAAGACUCUCAGACCAAACUCUCCGACAGGCUCAAGCAAAUCCUCAACAUGCUGCAGGACUCCACAAACUGGCUGGAUGCAAAGCGGGAGGUGGACUUCCUCAUCAAACAGGCCAGUGGGCGGCUGGAAUCGUGGCAGGAGAUCACGUACACAGCGGACGCGCUGAAGAAGCAACACGCAGAUCUGAGGGUCUUCAUGAAGGACCUGAAGCAGUGGCAGGGACAGGUGGCCGAAACCAACGCGCUGGCCAACAAGCUGCUGACGCUGUACGCCAACGACGACACGCACAAGGUCACCCAGGUCAAUGACAACAUGCUGGCGACGUGGGCGCACAUCAACAAACGAGUUUCAGACCGGGAGGCGGCUGUGGAAGCCGGCCUGAAGCUGCUCCACCAGUUCUACCUGGACCUGGAGAAGUUCCUCAGCUGGCUGACGGAGGCGGAGACCACCUGCAAUGUUUUAAUAGAUGCCACCAACAAGGAGAGGCUGCAGGAUCAGCCUGAGGCGGCCAAGAGGCUGCUGGGCCAGUGGAAGGACCUCGAGGCAGAGGUGGACGGCCAUGAAGAACUGUAUCACUCCCUGGAUGAGAACGGCCAGAGGAUCCUGACCUCUCUGAGGGACCCUGAGGACCGGGUUCUGCUCCAGAGACGUCUGGACAACAUGAGGCAGCGCUGGAACGACCUGCGCAGCAAGACUUUCAGCAUGAGGUCACAGCUGGACUCCGACAUGGCUCCCUGGAAGAGGCUCCACAUGUCACUGCAGGAGCUGCUGAACUGGCUCAGACUCAAGAGUCAGCAGCUGGAGCAGGAGAAGCCUGUAGGGGGCGACGUUCCUGCCGUGCAGACCCAGCUGGAUACCCACAGAGGGUUCAAAAUAGAGCUCAGAGCCAAGGAUCCGGUAGUGACCAAGGCUCUUGAUGAUGCGGGAUUCUUCCUGUCUGAACUGCCUAGAGAGUCACCAUCACCUGAACUGAGAGACAUCAGCCCGGAGGAGCGUGCUCAGAACGUGGGCCGAGUGUUGCGCAAAGAGGCGGACGAUGUGGUGAGCCGCUGGGACCGGCUCAACGUCGACUCGGCCGACUGGCAGAGGAGGUUGGAGUUGGCCCUGGACAGACUGAUGGAGCUCCAGGAAGCAGAAGACCUGCUGGACAAACAGCUGAAGCAGGCGGAGAUGGUGAAGCAGGGCUGGGAACCUGUAGGGGAACUGUUGAUUGACUCCUUACCAGAGCACAUCAGUAGAGUCAAGGAGUUCCAGGAAGAAAUAGCUCUGAUUAAGGACGAUGUGACACACAUGAACCAUUUGGCAUCCACGUUCGAUCCAUCCGACAUCCAGUUGUCUCCUAGCAACCUGGAACGCAUUGAAGACCUCAACACGCGCUGGAGACUGCUCCAAAUAUCUGUCAAAGAACAUCUGAAGCAGCUGACAGACGCUCACACAGACUUCUGCCUCUCUCAAGGAUCAGUAGAAAGACCGUUCGAGCAGGGCAUCUCUCCAAACAAUGUGCCCUAUUAUAUCAACCACCAGACCCAGACGACAUGCUGGGACCAUCCCAAGAUGACAGAGCUCUACCAGUCUCUGGCCGACCUGAACAACGUUCGGUUCUCGGCCUACCGCACAGCCAUGAAGCUCAGGCGCCUGCAGAAAGCUCUCUGCUUGGACCUCCUGAGCAUGCAGACGGCGUGCGAGGUGUUCGAGCAGCACACCCUGAAGCAGAACGAGCAGCUGCUGGACAUCUCCCAGCUGGUGACCUGCCUCACCAGCCUGUACCAGCGGCUGGAGCAGAGCCACUCCCACCUGGUCAACGUCCAGCUGAGCGUGGACAUGUGCCUCAACUGGCUGCUCAACGUCUACGACACCGGGCGCACCGGGAAGAUUCGGACUCUGUCGUUCAAAACUGGAAUCAUCUCGCUUUGCAAAGCCCACCUGGAGGAUAAAUACCGAUUUUUGUUCCGACAGGUCACCAGCGCCACGGGUUUUUGUGACCAGCGCCGUUUGGGCCUCCUCCUCCACGACUCCAUCCAGAUCCCCCGGCAGCUCGGCGAGGUGGCGUCCUUCGGCGGCUCCAACAUCGAGCCCUCCGUCCGCAGCUGCUUCCAGUUUGCCAACAACAAACCUGAGCUGGAGGCCUCCAUGUUCCUGGACUGGAUGCGUCUGGAGCCUCAGUCCAUGGUUUGGCUCCCGGUCCUGCACCGGGUCGCGGCUGCAGAAACCGCCAAGCACCAAGCCAAGUGCAAUAUCUGCAAGGAGUGUCCGAUCAUUGGGUUCAGAUAUCGGAGCCUGAAACAUUUCAACUAUGACAUUUGCCAAAGCUGCUUCUUCUCCGGCCGCGUUGCCAAGGGACACAAGAUGCAAUACCCCAUGGUGGAAUACUGCACUCCGACCACAUCAGGGGAGGAUGUGCGGGAUUUUGCCAAGGUGCUGAAGAACAAAUUCAGGACCAAGCGCUACUUUGCCAAACACCCACGCAUGGGCUACCUGCCCGUCCAGACCAUCCUGGAGGGGGACAACAUGGAAACUCCUGUCACUCUGAUCAACUUCUGGCCUGUAGACCAUGCGCCUGGAUCGUCCCCUCAACUCUCUCACGACGACACACAUUCUCGGAUCGAGCACUACGCCAACCGGUUAGCUGAAAUGGAGAACCGUAAUGGCUCUUAUCUGAAUGACAGUAUCUCACCCAAUGAGAGCAUCGAUGACGAGCACAUGUUGAUCCAGCACUACUGCCAGUCUCUGAACCAAGGCUCUCCUCUCAGUCAGCCCCGCAGCCCCGCCCAGAUCCUCAUCUCCAUGGAAACAGAGGAGAAGGGAGAGCUGGAGAGGGUCCUGGGUGACCUGGAGCAGGAGAACAGGAAGCUGCAGGCCGAGUACGACCGUUUGAAAAAAGCCCACGACAGGAAAGGUCUGUCCCCGCUGCCUUCGCCGCCCGAGAUGCUCCCGGUGUCGCCGCAGAGCGCUCGGGACGCCGAGCUCAUCGCCGAGGCCAAGCUGCUGCGGCAGCACAAAGGUCGCCUGGAGGCCCGCAUGCAGAUACUGGAGGACCACAACAAACAGCUGGAGUCCCAGCUGCACAGGCUGAGGCAACUUCUGGAGCAGACGGAUUCCAAGGUGAACGGCACGGCCCUCUCCUCCCCCUCCACCUCUUCCCAGCGCUCCGACUCGUCUCUGCCGCUGCUGCGUGUGGCAGCCAGCCAGACUACUGACACAAUGGGCGACGAUGAGUUUUCCAGUCCUUCCCAAGAUGCAUCUGGCCUGGAGGAAGUGGUGGAGCAGCUCAACAACACGUUCCCGCACAGCCAGAGCGGGAGAAGGGGACAUCCAUGAGAGGUCAGUCUCAACUCAAUUAAUCGUCCGCCAUGUGGAACAGGCUGCCGAUGCUGGGAACUGCAGGGAAAGGAUUAGCAUCAUUACAAAUAAAAGGUCUCAGCAUCGGCAGCCUGUUCCACAUGGCGGAUGAUCGGGCCGCGCCAUGGAGUCGCUGGUCAGCGCCAUGACCGCCGAACGCAGCCUGGAACUCCUGCGUCCUUUUUGAUCCCCCCUCCAUCAUACCGCAUGCUUUUCUAGUCGAAACAACUGGAUUGGAACCUGUUUACACAGAGAAUAUAAUGUCUAUUUUUGUGAAGGAUUGCAGUUAAAGCAACAAGUACAAAAAAAAAAGAAUCUAAGAUUUGAGUAGUUUCUUAAAACAUCCUGUUUUAUUGUUAAAAGGAGCUGGUUUUUAAACUUCUAUGCAAUUGUAUAAAACGAGAAGCGGGGUUGAGAAACAGAGACGGCGUCUUCAGUGUCCUCAUAUAUUUGCUAUCUCUUUCUAACUGGGGAAAUGAGCUGAAGCAUUUCUCACUAGUUUCAAACGAUUGUAACAAUGGGGGUGUUUUCUAAGAGGCAGUUCUCUUUGUGUGUGUGAGUGUGUGGUGCCUAAAACUUCAUAACAGUUUGUUUUGGUUUUUUGGACAUUAAUAUUUUGGACAGUACAAGCUCUGCUGAUCCUAACAGUAAAGCAAAGAUUAAAAAAAAGAAAAACGCCUCAUUGCAUUGAGAAGAGUUUUCAGAAAGUCACCAGAGGGCGCUGUUGAGUUUUUGGGUUUUUUAACUUUUUACUAGGUAAACAAAUUCAACACGUUGAUUUGCAGCUCAUCACUUGACUUUCACAAAUCUUACAUCUGUCUUGUUACAACUACAAAUGUGUCAUUUCCCUCAAAGGUCAGAUUUGUGGCUUGGCUGCUCAAAAGGUCAAAGUGUUCAAGUGCAAAACCAAGUUGUUGUUUUUUUUCUAUCGUCUAAAGAAGAAGAAUGAAUCUGCUCCCAUUUCACACGGAGAAAGAAAAGUCUUCCUCAGACUAGAAACUUUAACAGUCAAUGCCUUGAUCCAUGCAGCAUAGGUUACAUUUUAACUGUUAUUACCUGUUAUUAACUCAACAACCUCACGUGAAGUUUGGAUGUUAGUUUGACCUCUAAUCAGUUCCACACUCCAAGAUUAGUAAAAAUCAAAAAGAUAUUUCUAAUUGAACACUGGUGGACGCUGAAUGUUCUGUCAAACCUAAUCUGGUUUUUUGUUACAUUUUGUCUUUGGUUCAAAGCAGGUUGGCUUUGCUCUGAUAUUAACAUGUGACUAAAAGAAAAAAAACUAAAUCUUAAUUUGUAAUAAAUUAGUUGUUUCAUCAGAUUCCUGCAGCAUGACCCAGUGAGUUUGAAAUUUGGACCCAAGUUGAUUUAUUUCUUUUUCUUUUUCAAAGAAUGUCAUUUUCACCUAAUUUUUUUUCAAAUACUUUGGUACUUUACAACAUAUCAGAGUCCAUCAAAUGUAUGCCUUACUACUGUACUAUAAAAUGCUUUACUGUACAUCAAUAAAGCAUGCCGUUAUGUUGA